UGAGUAACCUGCCCUUCACUCUGGGAUAACUCCGGGAAACCGGGGCUAAUACUGGAUAUGACUCGAACAGGCAUCUGUUUCGGGUGGAAAGAUUUAUUGGUGGAGGAUGGACUCGCGGCCUAUCAGCUUGUUGGUGAGGUAAUGGCUCACCAAGGCGACGACGGGUAGCCGGCCUGAGAGGGCGAUCGGCCACACGUGGGGCUGAGACACGGCCCAGACUCCGUACGGGAGCA
rnacentral:rRNA from 1 species